AUGGCCCUUACGUACCAGGGCUACACACGUGCUACAAUGGACGCAUACAAAGAGAAGCGACCUCGCGAGAGCAAGCGGACCUCAUAAAGUGCGUCGUAGUCCGGAUUGGAGUCUGCAACUCGACUCCAUGAAGUCGGAAUCGCUAGUAAUCGUGGAUCAGAAUGCCACGGUGAAUACGUUCCCGGGCCUUGUACACACCGCCCGUCACACCAUGGGAGUGGGUUGCAAAAGAAGUAGGUAGCUUAACCUUCGGGAGGGCGCUUACCACUUUGUGAUUCAUGACUGGGGUGAAGUCGUAACAAGGUAACCGGUAGGGGAACCUGCGGUUGGAUCACCUCCUUACCUUAAA
rnacentral:rRNA from 1 species